ACGCUCGACACCUACGGGGGGCAGCAGUGGGGAAUAUUGCACAAUGGGGGAAACCCGUGAUGCAGCGACGCCGCGUGAGCGAAGAAGUAUUUCGGUAUGUAAAGCUCUAUCAGCAGGGAAGAAACUGACGGUACCUGACUAAGAAGCACCGGCUAAAUACGUGCCAGCAGUCGCGGUAAUCUGAGCGGGCUGGCAAGGC
rnacentral:rRNA from 1 species